rnacentral:rRNA from 1 species
AUUGAACGCUGGCGGCAUGCUUUACACAUGCAAGUCGAACGGUAACAGGCCUUCGGGCGCUGACGAGUGGCGAACGGGUGAGUAAUGCAUCGGAACGUGCCCAGUCGUGGGGGACAACGCAGCGAAAGCUGUGCUAAUACCGCAUACGAUCUAUGGAUGAAAGCGGGGGACCGUAAGGCCUCGCGCGAUUGGAGCGGCCGAUGUCAGAUUAGGUAGUUGGUGGGGUAAAGGCUCACCAAGCCAACGAUCUGUAGCUGGUCUGAGAGGAUGACCAGCCACACUGGAACUGAGACACGGUCCAGACUCCUACGGGAGGCAGCAGUGGGGAAUUUUGGACAAUGGGCGCAAGCCUGAUCCAGCAAUGCCGCGUGCAGGAAGAAGGCCUUCGGGUUGUAAACUGCUUUUGUACGGAACGAAACGGCGAGCUCUAAUACAGUUUGCUAAUGACGGUACCGUAAGAAUAAGCACCGGCUAACUACGUGCCAGCCGCCGCAGUAAUAC